GAUGAACGCUAGCUACAGGCUUAACACAUGCAAGUCGAGGGGCAGCAUAUAUCUAGCAAUAGAUAUGAUGGCGACCGGCGCACGGGUGAGUAACACGUAUCCGACCUGCCUCAGACUCUGGGAUAGCCUUUCGAAAGAAAGAUUAAUACCAGAUGGUAUAGGAUUAUCACAUGAUAUUUCUAUUAAAGAAUUUCGGUUUGAGAUGGGGAUGCGUUCCAUUAGAUUGUAGGCGGGGUAACGGCCCACCUAGUCAUCGAUGGAUAGGGGUUCUGAGAGGAAGGUCCCCCACACUGGAACUGAGACACGGUCCAGACUCCUGGACG
rnacentral:rRNA from 1 species